ensembl:lncRNA novel transcript, antisense to ADAMTS18
UCCAGGUGAAUAUAAGAGCCAGCCAGAUGAGAACCAACCAUCAUCUAGCCUCUCUGUGAUCAGCAUGUAGUCCCCAGACCAUCAACAGCAGCGUCACCUGGGAGCACAUUAGAUAUGCAAAGUCUCAGGUGACCUACUGCUUCCUGCAUUGGAGCCAGACCCCCAGGGUCCCACCGUCCCCUGUGAUUGGAUGGAGUGUCUCGCAUUUUACAUUGUCCCUGAGAGGAGAGGAGCCCUUUGGAAAAGUCUGAAAAGCUAACAUUGAACUGGGACAUAACAGCAGCCUUGGGACAUCAGAGCCUGCUUGUGCCUGCUCUGCACUAUUGGAUGUUUUUAUGUGUACUACAUUAAGAGCUUCCAUCUCUCUGGACAAAGGGGAGAAGCGCUUCCGUGGUGGGUGGCCCCAAUUAAACCCUGUGCCUAGUGAGUUUCCGCCCAGGCUGACUGGAAGUCAGCCAGGGCUGAUUAGAGAGCAGGUACCUCAAAUGGCCCAGCACGGCCAUAAUGAAAUAGUCCUGGAAAAUUGCUAAAUGACAUAGAGGAAAAUCAUUACAAUUGAAAUGCCUCCCUCCCCCUUACCCUCUAUAACAUAAAGAAACACUUCAGAAUUGCCUAAAUAUUGCUUUGCCCAGUGAGUUAACUGUAUAGUAAAUGAAAGAUCUCUCACAAACACACAGCUUUGAGCAUACUGCUUUAAUUAUGAAAUGUUUAUUUUGUUUAAAAGCACAUAAAGAAGACAAAAACAGAAUAAAGAGGAAACAAAAGCAACUUUCCCCUUCUCCACCCCUAAAAAACAAAUAAAUUGUCACAUACACUAUAGAAUCGACUAGUAGGCUUAAUAUGGAAGGAUUUUAGAUAUUUCUUCACUUAAAAUAGUAAUAAGUAUUUGCUUUUUAUGACAAAAUCAAUACAAGCUCUUCCUGAAAACAUUGAAAAACACAGAAAAGUAUAAUGAGAGACUAAGAAUGGCUCAGGUGCUGUGGCUCAUGCCUGUAAUCCUACCACUGUGGGAGGCCAAGGCAGGAGGAUCCCUUGAGCCCAGGAGUUUGAGACCAGCCUGGGCAGCAUAGUGAGACCCUGUCUCUUUUUUUAAAUUGAAAUGGAGUUUCACUCUUGUUGCCCAGGAUGGAGUGCAAUGGCGCAAUCUUGGCUCAGUGCAACCUCCAUCUCUCGGGUUCAAGCAAUUCUCCUGCCUCAGUCUCCCGAGUAGCUAGGAUUAGAGGCAUGCACCACCAUGCCCAGCUAAUUUUGUAUUUUUAGUAGAGACAGGAUUUCUCCAUGUUGGUCAGGCUGGUCUGGAACUCCCGACCUCAGGUGAUCUGCCCACCUCGGCCUCCUAAAGUGCUGGGAUUAUAGGAGUGAGCCACCGCACCCAGCCUCUGUCUCUUAAAAAAAAAAAAAAGUAACUCCGCAGCCAUUCAUCCACCCCUCAGAAAUAACCAGAGUGAACAUGAUGUGGUAUAUCUUCCUUCUGUAAACACUGUUUUACAUAGUUGAGAAUGCAUUGUGUAUACUUUUGUGUUCUACCUUGACUAGUACUAUAUAUGGAAUAUGUUGCAGAUGUUAAGAUUCCCUGAACAAUUAUCAUUAAUGGCUGGGACAUAAUCCAUUAAAGGAGUGUAACGUAAUGCACUUAGCAAAAAUUUGGAUGUCCCUUUGUCAUGGGGCUACUAAGCUAUGAUAAGCAGUAGCAACAUCUGCACCAUAUAAUGGGGAAAGGAAAUGGGGACUCAUGUUCCAUAGGGUCCCCAAUCCUUCAAUCCUCCACCAACACCGUAAGGGGGUUAUUACUCAUCCACUUUAAUAGAUAAGGAAACUGGGGCUCACUGAUAGGUGAGAUCACUGGCUGAGGUCACAGAGCAAGGAGGCAGAGCCAGGAUGAUGACCUAAGUCUGUCAGAUUCUUUUUUCAUCUGUAUUCCUCAUCCAUGUGUAGACACAGAACAGUGAAGUCAAAAGAGCAUGGUUUUGGAGUCCAGGUAUGAUUUGUCUUAUACCUUGCAAAUGUUAGGUGCCCGAUAAAUACCUGUU